AUGUGUAUAAGAGACAGGCAUCGAUGAAGAACGCAGCGAAAUGCGAUAAGUAGUGUGAAUUGCAGAAUUCAGUGAAUCAUCGAAUCUUUGAACGCACAUUGCGCCCUAUGGUAUUCCGUAGGGCAUGCCUGUUCGAGCGUCAUUUACACCUUCAAGCCUUGCUUGGUGUUGGGUGACUGUGGCCCCUUUGGGGCCACUCGCCUUAAAGUCAUUGGCGGCCGGUUCGUUGGCUUUGUAGCGCAGCACAAUUGCGUCCUCGAAGCCGCUGGACCAGCUCCCAGAAGCUAAUUUUAAAUGUUUGACCUCGAAUCAGGUAGGGAUACCCGCUGAACUUAAGC
rnacentral:misc_RNA from 1 species